rnacentral:rRNA from 1 species
GACGAACGCUGGCGGCGUGCUUAACACAUGCAAGUCGAGCGGUAAGGCCCUUUCGGGGGUACACGAGCGGCGAACGGGUGAGUAACACGUGGGUGACCUGCCCUUAGCCCUGGGAUAAGCCUGGGAAACUGGGUCUAAUACCGGAUAUGACUCCAUGACGCAUGUUGUGGGGUGGAAAGCCUUGUGCGGCUAGGGAUGGGCCCGCGGCCUAUCAGCUUGUUGGUGGGGUGAUGGCCUACCAAGGCGACGACGGGUAGCCGGCCUGAGAGGGCGACCGGCCACACUGGGACUGAGACACGGCCCAGACUCCUACGGGAGGCAGCAGUGGGGAAUCUUGCGCAAUGGGCGAAAGCCUGACGCAGCGACGCCGCGUGAGGGAUGACGGCC